GGAAGGGUGGCCGAGUGGUUUAAGGCGCUGGUCUUGAAAACCAGAGAUGGGAAACUAUCCGUAGGUUCGAAUCCUAUCCCUUCCG
rnacentral:tRNA from 1 species